UGGACCGCAAAGGAUUAUGGUCUAUUGGAAAGUCGAAAAUGUUUGUCGAAAUAAUGCGCCAAAUAAACUGAAGUGUUGUUUCGUUUAUUAAAGCCGGCCUAAGUGAGCUAACAAAGAAAUCAUCAGUCCACAAAAGAAUCAACCAGGGAAGGAGAAAAACAUUCAAAGCUGCAAAUUGCCAAAUCCAUCAGUUGGAAGAUGGAUGUCAAAGUCUCAGACAAAAGCUUCCAGAGUUAAGGAGAGAACACUUCAACAAAAACAAGCACGAGAAGAAUGACUGCAAAAAAGUUUUUCGCAGAUUCGUUUCCUUAUCAAGUGUAUUUAAGGAAAAUGGACCUGUCUACAGAGACUAGAUGUAAAUGUCAAGGACUGCAAUGAGCAAUUCAAUGACUCCUUUCUAAUUGUGUCAAGUGUCAUAAAAAAUUAAAACUGUUAUAAAUGGA